AGCCCUUGUUUUCACGCUUCCAUGCAUUUUGGUUAGUUAUAGCCCCACACCAGCCACACUUGAAAAUGGGUGCAUAUGAUGAGAGAAGAAGGUGAGAUCCACAACCCCAGCAUGUUGUCUCAUGCCCCUCGGGAACAGAUGUUACACAAAACCCCUCCUUCAUAUGAAAAAAAAUAAUAA